rnacentral:snRNA from 14 species
GUGCUCACUUCUGCAGCACACCCGCUUACAUUGCAAGGAUGAAGAUGAGAUUAGCCCCUGUGCAGGGACAUGCAAAUUCGUGAAGCCAUCUGUAUUUUU